CUGCAGUGGCUGAAACAUGGCCUUGCCCAUGUGCUCAGACUCGUCUUUGUUGAGAAACUUGUGUUUUAUGCUCAACUGAAAAAGGUCUUUUUUCUCUGGAGAAUUAUGGUGCUUGAUAUGAAGACUGUGGAGGAAGUUUAAAUAAUGUCCUUUUGUUCACAAAGAUCUUCAUUUCAUCGUUUACCCGUCGUCCUUGUACGGGACUUCCAAUUUUCCAUGAACUUUGGUAUUGAUUACUACAGGCACAUGGAUUAAAGGUGGCAGCUGUUUUGGACUCUUUGGCACAAGGAAUGGAAUUCAGAUAAGACUUUAUUCCCUCUCUCAUUCUUAACUCAUCAUCCAUGGACAGUGACAUGAUUUGGAUUCUACCUUUAAGUGUGCUUUUGUGUGUUUGUUUCUGGUGUGAUUUGGGGAGUUGUUUCAAAUUUUCUUACUGAAUAUAAAAGACUGGUUUUGCAUUGAAUAAGUGACUCUUGAUUAAUGCCUUGUUGGGAUAAACUAUUUUAAUGUGAUAGGUUACCUUAAAAAAUUGUAUAGCAGUUUUUUUGGGCUUAGUUAGGCCUGAGACUUAUAACGUGACUUUUACUAUGGUUUAUCAUGCAUGCAGAUUAUAUUUUAAGUUAAGCUAAAAUCAGUGAAUUCAUAAGACUGGUACAGUGCCUAUCAGAGGAUCUGUCUAUGAGCAGAUAUAUUAGGGAUCUGCUGAUAGACGCGGCUUUCAAAUGCUCCCGUGUGUAUCUGUGUAAGCAGGGCUGGGCAAUAUGACAAAUCUUAUAUCACGAUAUGAGUAAUUUUAUUUCACGAUAAUAUAUAUCAAGUUAUUUUUGCUUCAUAUAAGGUCAAUGAUAUCAAAAUGUUUGAUACCAUAGAAUAAUCAAUUAUCGUCACCAGUGUCAAUAUCACAAACAACUAAUGCUAGCCUAAAAAA